GUCUCGUGGAUUAAAAGGGAAUCGGGUGAAAGUCCCGAACAGUCCCGCUGCUGUGAAGCUCCGCCAACCGCACGAACAUCUCUACCACUGAUCCUGAGGGAUCGGGAAGGUCUCGCGCGGGGAGUCAGUCAGAAGACCUGCCAUCGAUUUAU
rnacentral:ncRNA from 1 species